UAUCUUCAACCUUCUUGGUUUCUUGAUCAAGAAGGCUUGGAAUUUGGAGGCUUUUGCUGGCUUUUCCUCAAAGCCAGCUCCUCUUAAAUGAAUUAGUAGGGUCUACUUUGCUGAUCCUUGACGUGAUAAGAUAACUUUCUACGUCUUGGGCUUUUGCAAACCUGCUUCUAACUGUCUCGUCAGAGACUGUGAACUAUCAUAUAUAUAUAAAC
rnacentral:misc_RNA from 1 species